GGAACCACGUCAGGUAUGUACAAGGUGCGUGGGCCUCAGUUUGAACACAGCAGCCAUUGUGACCGGGGGAGUGAAUACGGUUACCGGGAUUAUUUUACUGCAGAAUUACGUUAGCGAGGGAUUCAGCGGUACAGUUUGUGUUUGCAUGGUUUAUUACUGUAGUCUGCGUAUUCUCUGGAGUGUGGCAGGUAUUGUAAAGGAUAUAUAUACGAUAAGGUUAGGUAGGUUGUGUCGGUUACAAACUUAUAUGAACUUAUAUGUGAUACUGUAUCCAGGACUUAACGGGCCUCUUCGUGCAGCUCAGUGAUGUUAGCCAUGUCCACUGUAUGGUCGUAUUUAAGUGGAUGGGAAGCUCAGUGUGCCUCCAGUCUCUUUUUAAAGGAUUAUAGUGACAGUGCCUCAACGACUCCAGCUGAGAAUUUGUGCUGGACUCCCCUCAUGCCGUCGUAAGAUCAGUGGUUGAAUACUUGAAAACCAUCGUGACGGCUUGGUCUUAAUUGAGGUUUGAAGGCAGACGCCCUUCCCCCGGCGGAGCACCUCUCCGAGCCGCCCGCUCAUCUGAGGCGAGGGGCUGCAGGGUGCCACAAGCUACCGCACCCUCACGUGCCUAGAGCAGGUGCCCGCUGCGACCCGCCGCGCCACCCCAUCCCGCCCCGCCCUGCCCCGCGCCAAGCUGCAAAUAAAGCUGUGUUAUUCCGUUCUCUUCUAUACCUAAUA